AACCAAACGGGAUUGCCUUAGUAACGGCGAGUGAAGCGGCAAAAGCUCAAAUUUGAAAUCUGGUACCUUCGGUGCCCGAGUUGUAAUUUGGAGAGGGCAACUUUGGGGCCGUUCCUUGUCUAUGUUCCUUGGAACAGGACGUCAUAGAGGGUGAGAAUCCCGUGUGGCGAGGAGUGCGGUUCUUUGUAAAGUGCCUUCGAAGAGUCGAGUUGUUUGGGAAUGCAGCUCUAAGUGGGUGGUAAAUUCCAUCUAAAGCUAAAUAUUGGCGAGAGACCGAUAGCGAACAAGUACAGUGAUGGAAAGAUGAAAAGAACUUUGAAAAGAGAGUGAAAAAGUACGUGAAAUUGUUGAAAGGGAAGGGCAUUUGAUCAGACAUGGUGUUUUGUGCCCUCUGCUCCUUGUGGGUAGGGGAAUCUCGCAUUUCACUGGGCCAGCAUCAGUUUUGGUGGCAGGAUAAAUCCAUAGGAAUGUAGCUUGCCUCGGUAAGUAUUAUAGCCUGUGGGAAUACUGCCAGCUGGGACUGAGGACUGCGACGUAAGUCAAGGAUGCUGGCAUAAUGGUUAUAUGCCGC
rnacentral:rRNA from 1 species